GCUGGAGCGUCGGGCCCAUACCCCGCCAUCGCUGCAGUUUUUCCGGUAAAGCGAAUAAUUAGAGGUCUUGGGGCCGAAACGAUCUCAAC
rnacentral:miRNA from 1 species